UGUUUUGGACUGGGUCUUAUUGCACCCGUGUGUGUGGCGUUGACCGACACUGUUGUUUUGGACUGGGUCUUAUUGCACCCGUGUGUGUGGCGUUGACCGACACUGUUGUUUUGGACUGGGUCUUAUUGCACCCGUGUGUGUGGCGUUGACCGACACUGUGGUUUUGGGAAUAAACAUUCCACAUAUCAACUACCCUGCUCUCUGCGCCUGACUCCUCCACCCACUACUUCUAGAAGUACAUGACAGGGGGAAGCUUGUUCCACCAUUGGGGUGCCAGCACAGAGAAGAGCUUGAGGCCCAAUCACACCAAGACCAAAGAAACAUGAUUGACUGAAGAGACAACCACGCUUCAUGACAUGUCUCCUUAUAUCGCUGUUAACCACUGUAGGACAUCAAGAGUGGGAGGAGGAGAGUCCAUUUUUGUUCAUAAACAUGUUCAUUCUUUGUAAGAGAGGACCUUGCACUUACAUGUGAUAACAUUGAUGUUGAAUCUCUUUUCAUAGAAAUUCCCUCCUGUACUUUUUUUUAACCACCAAAAAAUGUGUUAGAUACAUCCAAUUAUCGGCCACCCGAUUCUGACAUUGGUAGUUUCAUUGAUAUCCUUGCACCAGCGUUGGAUUUGAUUAAUAAUUCAUAUACAAUUUGUUUACUAUUGACUGAUUAUAACAAAUGUAUUUAAAAGUGAGAACCACUCACUGACGUCAGUCAAUAGUAAAUACUUUAUAUCCCAGCUAUCUGUAUCCCCUCAUCUACGUAUAAGCCCACAAUACUUACCAGUUCAUCUGACACCCUUAUUGAUAAUAAUUUUACAAUUUUACAAUGUGGCUAAUACAGGUAUACUUUAUUAAAAUUUAUUAAACAAGCACCAUUCACCCGAGU